GGUCUAAUUUGUACUUGGAGGAGGCCUGUGGCUUUGAGGGCCAUCUUUAGCACCAUCAUGUCACCAUCCACUGCUGCUGCCUCCUGAGUUGUCUGCAUGUAGAGUCAUCUCUGCUCACUGAGAACCUCCUGAGUUUAUCUCCCUGUAUUAUGCAAAGUCACCUAAAAAUCCUUUUUGCUGGCACCCCUGGUGACCCCAGUGGUGUUUCUCUGUCCUGCCAUGAGACCAAGAGAUAUGGGUUGAAAGAGACCUCAGGACCUGCUUGGAGCACAGGAUCACUGAGGGCCCUCUUGACUCAAUUUGACUUGACCACCAUCUACACCACCAGUCCCUAGCAGAAGGGGAGUGUUGGAGCCAAACUUGCUUUACCCCUUACAGACCCAGCCCUCCAAUUAUACUGCAGAGAUGCUUCCUGGGCAGCUGAAAGGGAGGAAGGAGAGGAAUCAAGGGGAAGGAAGAGUUAUCUGUAUGCAGCUUUUAUCUCCUGCUGCAAACUCCAUCAGGAGUUGCACCCUGGGGAAACGUCGAUCCGAGUGCCUCAGCCCAGCCAGGCAUGUCAUCCUCCAGUCGAUCCAAGAGGCUGGCUCUGAGCACCGGUGAGAAAAAAGGGGAAAAAGCAGAGGAGCUGACACUGACAUCCCCAGCACACCGGCUGCGAUAGAGCUGCCUGCCUUUGCCCAAAUCCGUCAGAAUUUGCUGGUGUGCCAAAAACAUAAAAAGAGAAAGCAUGAUGUGGGCAAGGAAGGAGAAGAGGUGAG
rnacentral:lncRNA from 1 species